rnacentral:pre_miRNA from 1 species
UUAUAAAAUAUUUAUCUAUUUUAUUGUUACAAAUUAGCUUGAUUGAUGAAAUAAUCAGAUAAAAACACAUGACGUGUUAUGUAUGCUUUAUGUUGAUGUAUAUGGACUAAUUUUUAGUAGUAGAAAUGGAUAAUUUUUUUAAUA